rnacentral:rRNA from 1 species
GACGUAGGGACCAAGCGUUGUCCGGAUUUAUUGGGCGUAAAGAGCUCGUAGGCGGUUCAGUAAGUCGGGUGUGAAAACUCAGGGCUCAACCCUGAGACGCCACCCGAUACUGCUGUGACUAGAGUCCGGUAGAGGAGUGCGGAAUUCCUGGUGUAGCGGUGAAAUGCGCAGAUAUCAGGAGGAACACCAACGGCGAAGGCAGCACUCUGGGCCGGCACUGACGCUCAGGAGCGAAAGCGUGGGGAGCGAACAGG